rnacentral:rRNA from 1 species
GAUGAACGCUGGCGGCGUGCCUAAUACAUGCAAGUCGAGCGAACAGACGAGGAGCUUGCUCCUCUGACGUUAGCGGCGGACGGGUGAGUAACACGUGGAUAACCUACCUAUAAGACUGGGAUAACUUCGGGAAACCGUAGCUAAUACCGGAUAACAUAUUGAACCGCAUGGUUCAAUAGUGAAAGAGGGUAUUGCUGUCCCUCAAAGAUGGAUCCGCGUCGCAUUAGCUGGUUGGUAAGGUAACGGCUUACCAAGGCAACGUUGCGUAGCCGACCUGAGAGGGUGAUCGGCCACACUGGAACUGGGACACGGUCAAGACUCCUACGGGAGGCAGCAGUAGGGAAUCUUCCGCAAUGGGCGAAAGCUUGACGGAGCAACGCCGCGUGAGUGAUGAAGGUCUUCGGAUCGUAAACCUCUGUUAUUAGGGAAGAACAAAUGUGUAAGUAACUAUGCACGUCUUGACGGUACCUAAUCAGAAAGCCACGGCUAACUACGUG